UGACAGGAUGUCCUCCCAGCAGCAGCAGCAACAUCCAGCAGCAGCACGCUCAUCUCUGCAGGGAAACCGUUGCUGUGGAAACAUCAUACCAGGAAUAUUUUGGACCCUGUGCUUCCAAUCGCAUGUUUUUCCACAUAAUAUCAGCAGACACCAGCUGUCACCACUAGGGGGCUGUGGGGAAGUUUCAAUUCCUGCCCUCAACAGAUUGAUGAGUGCCAGUAAACAGUUUACUGUCUGUCUGUCUGUCUGUCUGUCUGUCUUUUCCCUGGUGUGAGACACUGAGGCAUCGUUUAAUGUUCAAGUCUCCUACACAGACUUCCUAUUAGCCCUCUGUGAUGGGCUGUUACACCACACACAGACACACAAUGUAUACAGUAGCUGGAAAAUAAUGAUGCUGUGCCAGUAAAGGGAAGUUAAG